rnacentral:rRNA from 1 species
GACGAACGCUGGCGGCGUGCUUAACACAUGCAAGUCGAACGGUAAGGCUCCAGCUUGCUGGGGUACACGAGUGGCGAACGGGUGAGUAACACGUGGGUGACCUGCCCUGCACUUCGGGAUAAGCCUGGGAAACUGGGUCUAAUACCGGAUAGGACCAUGGUGUGGAUACUGUGGUGGAAAGUUUUUUCGGUGUGGGAUGGGCCCGCGGCCUAUCAGCUUGUUGGUGGGGUAAUGGCCUACCAAGGCGGCGACGGGUAGCCGGCCUGAGAGGGUGGACGGCCACAUUGGGACUGAGACACGGCCCAGACUCCUACGGGAGGCAGCAGUGGGGAAUAUUGCACAAUGGGCGGAAGCCUGAUGCAGCGACGCAGCGUGGGGGAUGACGGCCUUCGGGUUGUAAACUCCUUUCACCAUCGACGAAGGGUUUCUGACGGUAGAUGGAGAAGAAGCACCGGCUAACUACGUG